rnacentral:rRNA from 1 species
UGGCGGACGGGUGAGUAACGCGUGAGGAACCUGCCUUUCAGAGGGGGACAACAGUUGGAAACGACUGCUAAUACCGCAUGAAGCAGCGAGGGGACAUCCCCUUGCUGUCAAAGAUUUAUCGCUGAAAGAUGGCCUCGCGUCUGAUUAGCUAGUUGGUGGGGUAACGGCCCACCAAGGCGACGAUCAGUAGCCGGACUGAGAGGUUGACCGGCCACAUUGGGACUGAGAUACGGCCCAGACUCCUACGGGAGGCAGCAGUGGGGAAUAUUGGGCAAUGGACGCAAGUCUGACCCAGCAACGCCGCGUGAAGGAAGAAGGCUUUCGGGUUGUAAACUUCUUUUAACAGGGAAGAGAAGAAGACGGUACCUGUUGAAUAAGCCACGGCUAACUACGUGCCAGCAGCCGCGGUAAU